rnacentral:rRNA from 1 species
UACGUAGGGUGCAAGCGUUGUCCGGAAUUAUUGGGCGUAAAGAGCUCGUAGGCGGUUUGUCGCGUCUGCUGUGAAAACUCGGGGCUUAACCCCGGGCCUGCAGUGGGUACGGGCAGACUAGAGUGCGGUAGGGGAGACUGGAAUUCCUGGUGUAGCGGUGAAAUGCGCAGAUAUCAGGAGGAACACCGGUGGCGAAGGCAGCUCUCUGGGACGGUACUGACGCUGAGACGCGAAAGCGUGGGGAGCGAACAGG